rnacentral:rRNA from 1 species
UUGGAGGGCAAGUCUGGUGCCAGCAGCCGCGGUAAUUCCAGCUCCAAUAGCGUAUAUUAAAGUUGUUGCAGUUAAAAAGCUCGUAGUUGAAUUUCGGGGUCAGUAGGUUGGUCAUGCCACUGGUAUGUACUGGUCUCACUGAUUCCUCCUUCCUGAUGAGCCGUAAUGCCAUUAAUUUGGUGUUGCGAGGAAUCUGGACUGUUACUUUGAAAAAAUUAGAGUGUUUAAAGCAGGCUAACGCUUGAAUACAUUAGCAUGGAAUAAUGAAAUAGGACGUUCGAUCUUAUUUUGUUGGUUUCUUAGAUUGGCGUAAUGAUUAAUAGGGAUAGUUGGGGGCAUUAGUAUUCAAUUGUCAGAGGUGAAAUUCUUGGAUUUAUUGAAGACUAACUACUGCGAAAGCAUUUGCCAAGGAUGUUUUCAUUAAUCAAGAACGAAAGUUAGGGGAUCGAAGACGAUCAGAUACCGUCGUAGUCUUAACCAUAAACUAUGCCGACUAGGAAUCAGACGAUGUUAAUUUUUUAAUGACUCGUUUGGCACCUUACGGGAAACCAAAGUGUUUGGGUUC